rnacentral:lncRNA from 1 species
UUCUAUGUCCUUCUAUAGAUAUGUUCCUAAUGUUGGACUUUAGGAACUGCAGUGGCAGACAGCAACUUUUAUUUUCCCCAGCCACCAUAGCCCCACUCAAUAUGACAUUUAGACAGAUGAGCCAGCAAUACAGUAGUUACAUGUGUCUGGGAUUUGUUUUUUAAAUUAUAUGUACCGCUUUUAAUAGCCUGAUUACAGCUGUUCAGUAAGUGAUGCCUCUAGACUGAAGAGGACCGAAAUGAGAAGCAGGCCAGCUAAGAGGGCUGGGAGCAGCACGUUCCCCUUGUUAUUGCCAGCUAGUGGGGAGAGAACAUAUGGCCACUUUACAAAGUUAAGAAUCACAAACAGCAGACAAGAAUGAAUGAUUAAUGCUGGAGUUCCUGGAGUAUGGGCCAAAGAAGUUCCCCCAAACCUUACAAACAGAAACACAUGCCUCUGCCAGUCCCCACAUGGGAUCCCAGAUGAGAAACCUCUCAAGGAGAAUAACAAAAUGCAGUUGGAAUCAAAGUGUAUGAAGCCUCCCAGACACACCCAGCAGGAGUCACCAGGAAGCAGCUGGGAAGAGGCUGACAGCCCACCAGCAAUGAGACCACAGGAGCUGCUGCUCCCGGGAGGGAGUCUGCUGUCAUCCUCCACUUGCUAGAGUUCUCCCUCCUCUCUGCUUGUUACACACUGCUUCCCUGCUCUAGAGCUUGCUCCAGAGAUGACUUCAACAGAACAGAGUGGCUCUUCCUUACUUGAAACACAGAUCCAUUGUACCUGUGGCUUUGGCUCUGGAUUGUCUUUCUACUUAGAGGAGAACAAGGGUGUGACUGAGCCACAUGAUGGAAAGUAAAGGUACAACCAAAAAUUGUGGCGUUUCCUCUUGUUUAUGACAUUAAAUUUCCCUCAGCCUCUACCCUCAUGCUGCCUGCUUCUCUAAGGCUGCUCCCAGGGAACAAGUUAAUAAUCUCAAAUACAGUAAUUUUUGCCCCUUUCAGAGGUAAGAGUUUAACAGGGGACAAAGGACGAAUUUUCCAUCAUGGCAUUUCAAACAUCAGUAAAAUGUUGAUUAUUUUUCAGCACUCUUGAUAUUAUAUCUGAGUAGCUCUUGUAGAAAUUAAUGCAAGCUGUGUUUUCACUGCAAUGUGCCCUUACUGUAUUCACAUGCAGCGAGAGGUUAUGCUGAUGGAACUUGGCCAUGAUUUGUGAUAUUGUUUAUUUACAUGUAUUAAUAUAAAAUAAAAUGCAACGUGCUAAGUAACAUUUAAGCCCUCAUUAACCUGUUCCUGAACUAUUUUUCCAACUCCAUUGAUCCCUACUCCUUGUGAUUCAGCCAGUACCUCAACUGUUUGUUUCUAUGCUUGUUCAAGGUUUGUAAUCCUUAGUCCUUUGCUCAAAAUGAGAGUCAGCCUGGCAUAAGGGAAAAAGCACUCAACUCAGACGAGCCUGAGUGGGAAACAUGACUUAAAUAAGUUAGCAACUUAUGCAAUAUCAUUUAUAUAACUUUGAGCCUUUAGCAUAAUCAUCUGUAAAAUGAAGCUUCCCACUGUGGGAUGUUCUUGAAAAGGGUGUUAUAGGAUAUGGAAGCACUAUGCACAGAUGAGGCUCUCAGUAAAGUUGUUCCAUCAUCUCUGAGUACGCAAAUUUUAUUCAUCCUUUAAGUUGCAGCCCAGAUAGCACCUUUUGCAUAAAGUGUCUACUGAUUGCCUCCACUGGGAUGCAAUCUUUCCCUCUUCUCAACUCCUAUCUCUCUUUGCCUUUAUCAAUCAUAUAGUAAGUGCGUCUUUUUAUUUUGUAUCACAGGGUCUCAAACUGAGACUCUGAAUGUGGCUUGUGCAGAGUGCUUCCUGGGAUUCUGUGUGUAUGGGUUACUCUGCAUGGAGCCUCCUGUUGCCAACCAAAAAAGGACUAAGCUUGGCUCCUUUCCAAUUCUCUGUACAUAAUUUUGUAUUCAUAUUAUGUUCUUUUUCUUGAAGAAGGCCCUGAUUUUAUAGGUGUCAGUCCCCCCAAAUCCUGAUUAGCACCUGGGGAGGAGGGAGAUGAGGGUAUGGAACUACUGGCAUGGUGUCUGUCCAUAUCCGCAGAGCUGAAGGAGUUGUAUGGAUGAAAGACAUAAUGGUAUUGGAAACAAGUGUGCUCUUUGGGGUCUGGAUAACAAAGUAUGGCAAAAGUUGAGGAGUUGAGGGAAUAUCUGCAAUCCAAAAGUUGAGGAUUAGCAAUGACAGAACCACAAUAUCCACAAUACCCUGGACAUGCAAUUGGCAUUCUCUUCAUGGAUGCUAACAUCAGUAGCAACUUCUCAUCAAGUCAAAUGCCUCCUCUUCAGAGAGUCUUGCUCACUUUUUGUAACCCCUUUCACCAACCUCUGUGUCAUCUACCCUAUUUGUCACUUUUUUUUAAGAGGCAGGAUCUUGCUCUUGCUCUAUCACCCAGGCUGGAGUG